rnacentral:misc_RNA from 1 species
UACGGAGGGGGCUAGCGUUGGUCGGAAUUAUUGGGCGUAAAGCGCGUGUAGGCGGCAUGGCAAGUCGGGUGUGAAAGCCCUCAGCUCAACUGAGGAAGUGCGCCCGAAACUGCUGUGCUUGAGUGCCGGAGAGGGUGGCGGAAUUCCCCAAGUAGAGGUGAAAUUCGUAGAUAUGGGGAGGAACACCGGUGGCGAAGGCGGCCACCUGGACGGUAACUGACGCUGAGACGCGAAAGCGUGGGGAGCAAACAGG